CAAGAUCCGUCAAGCCAUUGUUAAGAAUAAAGUUCUGAAAUAACUUGCAUCUAGAAAAAAAUGGGUGCCCUCCUUUCUUUUCAUCUGGUGAUAACACUGAAUUGAAAUCUCCCAACAAAACCUAAGGCUCGUUGUUGGACUGAGAAAUUUUUUCUAAAUGGUCCCAUAAGAUUUUGCAUUUUUGUUUGUUUAAAAAACCAUAAAAAAUUUACUAAAACAUUUUUUGAACCCCUAUUCUUCCCCAAACAACAAUGAAUAAAAUGUGGGUCAUUUAGGACAAUCUGAACCUAAAU
rnacentral:lncRNA from 1 species